rnacentral:rRNA from 1 species
UGGGGAAUAUUGGACAAUGGGCGAAAGCCUGAUCCAGCAAUGCCGCGUGAGUGAUGAAGGCCUUAGGGUUGUAAAGCUCUUUUACCCGGGAAGAUAAUGACUGUACCGGGAGAAUAAGCCCCGGCUAACUCCGUGCCAGCAGCCGCGGUAAUACGGAGGGGGCUAGCGUUGUUCGGAAUUACUGGGCGUAAAGCGUACGUAGGCGGUGAUUCAAGUCAGAGGUGAAAGCCCGGAGCUCAACUUCGGAAUAGCCUUUGAAACUAGAUCGCUUGAACGUCGGAGAGGUGAGUGGAAUUCCGAGUGUAGAGGUGAAAUUCGUAGAUAUUCGGAAGAACACCAGUGGCGAAGGCGGCUCACUGGACGACUGUUGACGCUGAGGUACGAAAGCGUGGGGAGCAAACAGG